rnacentral:rRNA from 1 species
GAUGAACGCUGGCGGCGUGCCUAAUACAUGCAAGUCGAGCGAACGGACGAGAAGCUUGCUUCUCUGAUGUUAGCGGCGGACGGGUGAGUAACACGUGGAUAACCUACCUAUAAGACUGGGAUAACUUCGGGAAACCGGAGCUAAUACCGGAUAAUAUUUUGAACCGCAUGGUUCAAAAGUGAAAGACGGUCUUGCUGUCACUUAUAGAUGGAUCCGCGCUGCAUUAGCUAGUUGGUAAGGUAACGGCUUACCAAGGCAACGAUGCAUAGCCGACCUGAGAGGGUGAUCGGCCACACUGGAACUGAGACACGGUCCAGACUCCUACGGGAGGCAGCAGUAGGGAAUCUUCCGCAAUGGGCGAAAGCCUGACGGAGCAACGCCGCGUGAGUGAUGAAGGUCUUCGGAUCGUAAAACUCUGUUAUUAGGGAAGAACAUAUGUGUAAGUAACUGUGCACAUCUUGACGGUACCUAAUCAGAAAGCCACGGCUAACUACGUGCCAGCAGCCGCGGCAAUACGUAGGUGGCAAGCGUUAUCCGGAAUUAUUGGGCGUAAAGCGCGCGUAGGCGGUUUUUUAAGUCUGAUGUGAAAGCCCACGGCUCAACCGUGGAGGGUCAUUGGAAACUGGAAAACUUGAGUGCAGAAGAGGAAAGUGGAAUUCCAUGUGUAGCGGUGAAAUGCGCAGAGAUAUGGAGGAACACCAGUGGCGAAGGCGACUUUCUGGUCUGUAACUGACGCUGAUGUGCGAAAGCGUGGGGAUCAAACAGGAUUAGAUACCCUGGUAGUCCACGCCGUAAACGAUGAGUGCUAAGUGUUAGGGGGUUUCCGCCCCUUAGUGCUGCAGCUAACGCAUUAAGCACUCCGCCUGGGGAGUACGACCGCAAGGUUGAAACUCAAAGGAAUUGACGGGGACCCGCACAAGCGGUGGAGCAUGUGGUUUAAUUCGAAGCAACGCGAAGAACCUUACCAAAUCUUGACAUCCUUUGACAACUCUAGAGAUAGAGCCUUCCCCUUCGGGGGGGCAAAGUGACAGGUGGUGCAUGGUUGUCGUCAGCUCGUGUCAUGAGAUGUUGGGUUAAGUCCCGCAACGAGCGCAACCCUUAAGCUUAGUUGCCAUCAUUAAGUUGGGCACUCUAAGUUGACUGCCGGUGACAAACCGGAGGAAGGUGGGGAUGACGUCAAAUCAUCAUGCCCCUUAUGAUUUGGGCUACACACGUGCUACAAUGGACAAUACAAAGGGCAGCGAAACCGCGAGGUCAAGCAAAUCCCAUAAAGUUGUUCUCAGUUCGGAUUGUAGUCUGCAACUCGACUACAUGAAGCUGGAAUCGCUAGUAAUCGUAGAUCAGCAUGCUACGGUGAAUACGUUCCCGGGUCU